UCUUGUGUAAAGGCUCCUAGAAACAAUUUACGAAUAAAUCCAGUCAUAUCCAGCUUGAUAAAGGAGGCCCACUGUUGGCAACUUAGCUAGAUUUGCCCUCUUAAUAACGUUUUAUACACACAUGGGCGAAAAAACCUGCACUCUCAGCUCGUAUAACGUGCAAUACAAUACACAAAUGUAUGCUCAAAAAGUUUCUAGAUUUCUCGCUAGACUUAAAAAAAAAAAAAAAAAAAAAAAAAAGGCAAAAUAAGCUUUUAAUGGUCUUAACAACAAAUCAUUGGUCAGGAAAUUAGCAAGAAUUAAACAAAUACUGUAGAUCUCUCCCUGCUCUAUCAGUCCUGGUUCCCUUUAUGAGCUUCUUAUCAGGGAUGGGCCGCAUCAGGUGUGGCAGAUAAUCAAAUAAUGACUAAUCUUUUAAGAAAAAACAUCCCAGAAGUGUGUUUAUUUCAUAAUCUUUAAACAUUUCCUUCAUGUCUAUUUCCCAACUAGUCACUAGUGCUGCUUCUUUGUGUCUGCAUUCUUGACAGAAAUUAUAGUAUUCUGUAAAAUUAAUUAAAUAAUAAUAUUAAAUAAAUAAUAAUGUUAAAUAAUAAUAUUAAAUAAAUAGUUGGUUUGACUACUUCUAUUUUGUAAAUAUGCAAAUAGUUGGUUUGUAGUGUCAUGACCAAAUAUGACUUCUUUCUAUAAGAAAUGUAUAAUCUAUCAAAAAAAAUAAAAAAUCCAUUCUAUAUUAAAGUGUUUUCAGAAAAUCUUCCUUCUUCAUGUAACACAUUUUAAUGUGCAAAUGAGCGUGACGAUCAAAUAAAUAUGCAAAUCAGGUUAUGACGUCUUCUGACGAAAUCGAGCAACUUUUGGAGCGUGCCUGAGCUACUUUCCCCUGAAGACAACUGAAGAGAGAUGACGAAUUACAUUAGCUGUUUCCCCUGAACUCGGGAUACUUGUCUUGGUAUUGGAUGGAAAUGUCUUGGGGUGGAAUCGCCAUCCCUACUUUAAACUCACAGAGUGGUCUGAGGCGGUUAGUUAGUUAGCUGUUCUAGCUUUUUAAAGCAGAGCUCAUUAUUGUAAUACAUUUUAAAUAUCGCCCAGUCCACCAAAAUGACAAGCAGAAUGUAACCAGAGUAAGGGUUUGUAUUUUAGUAGCUAUGUAACUACAGUAGUAUUACUGUAGUGUUAUGAGUAUCUUAGAAACUUGGUGUUAUUUCUGCUGAAUGUUAACAUCAAUGCUGCUUCGUAACUUUCAGUUCAGUUUGAUGGGAAUAGACGUUUCCUACACAGGCUACUUUUAUUAGAAACACUGUCUGACCUGCAUAUCAGGAGACUAUGACAGUGAAGGAGAAAAACUUUGUUUUGUACUUACUUUUUUACCGAAAGUGGACUUUGUUUUGCGAGAGCUGAAGACGCUGAGUAUCAGACUUUUGGCUUCUCUCACCUGGCGCAGUUUUGGAUCAGGCACAGUUUGGACAAAGCCGAAAAAAUGACGUCGGCUGAAUGAGGACCCAGAGCGCGUUGCUAUGGAAGCAGCACCUGCGCAGAGGGUACAUCGAAUGUUUUUGGAAAUUUUUUGCACCCCUCUCCACAUCAGUACCUUUUGACAAUGAGAUGUCAUAGAUGCUUUGUAAAGUCUACGCUGACCAUGGCUUCAGCAGUCGGAUGAAACCAAGAAGAUGUCAAAGAAAAAUCCUUCAGAAACAGCUGAUUUGGGGUUAAUCAGAAUUACUUCAUUGAAGACAGCUGUAUGAUAAUUACUUUUGGACAUGAGUUUGAAUGUGACUGGGUAAUUCUGAGCACAGUCACAUGCCCCAUUAUAAAGAGGUGUGCACAUUUAUGCAACCAGGUUAUUUUAAGUUUUUUCUUUUUUUCUUAAAACAUUUCUAUUUGAUUUUCACUUGAAUUUUAUUGGUUGCUAUGUCACAUUAAAGGUGGAAAAAGAUCUGACAUAAUUUAUCUUGGUUUUCUUUUCUAUUUUUUUUUGUUGUUGUUGUUUUUGCAAUUUUAACAGGGCUGUGUAGACUGUUUAUAUCCACAGGUACAGAUAAUGGCAUUGCAUUGUACCCCUAAUCAAGAAACAGGCGUGAACACAUGAAGAUAUGCAUCGAGACUCUUCUCAGUCCUGGCACCAAAGUGGUGAAAUGAACUUUCUGUAGCUGCCUUAACUACUGAGUCAUUAGCAAAGACUGAUGACCCACCGUUAUGGUAUUCUCAGACUGUGACCUAUUUGUACUAGAAUGAGGACAUGUUUUUUGGCUUUUUUUUUUGAAAGCACAUCUGUACAUCACUCCGGAUAAAUGCUGUAUGUAGCAUAUAUCACUGUAUUUACCUUUUAGAAAAGAAGCUUUCACCAAUUUUAUAUUCUAUAGAACCUCUUUGGAAAGCUAGAACUGUUAAGCAUCCAAUGAACCCUUUUUCUACUGGUGGGGAUAUACUUGUCCAGAAUAUUCUUCUGCUGUUUUUUUUUCUAAAAUUUUACCAUUUGCCAUCUCUCAUAUGCUCAAAAAACUCGGCUAAACUGGCUUUUCCUGUGCGCUGUGGCAGUGACCUAAAAAUGAAGUAGUCUUGGUGCGGGAACACACACAAGCAUGCACAGUAACGCAACCACACACUCCAAACAUGAAUCAUGCGUAUGAGUCAUCCAACGAAGUUGCGCAGACGUCAGGUUCCUGUUUCCUCAAGGAGGCUCCGAAGCCCUCGACUCGCAGAAUGCGGUAGCAGCUCUCCCUGCCCCAGUCUGGAAGCCAAGAGAAAGACGCACUCACUGCUCCCAUCUGGGCUUUAUACUACUACCUCCCCAGAUGUCAAUCAAACACACCCAGCUAUGCAAGAAAUGUAACAAGUGUCUCCUCCUCCCUCCCUACAACAGUGUUUUCAAGCCCUGGAAAAGACACCUGGCCAAAAUGUAAACAAACUGAAGUACUUUAUUUUUUCUGCAUAUUAGAACUUGUUAGACUGUGCAGUAAAUCUCAAGAGACUUCAUGGCGAGACGUUACCACAAACACAGACGUUUCUAGUACUAUUUUAAAAAGGCCUGUUAAGCUACAACUGCUAUCCAAUGAGAUUCAAAAUUAAAUUGGUGGCAUUUUAUUUUGUUUUUGAUUUAAAGACAAGGGAAAUUAUUUUUCUUUGGGAGACGUUAAAACAGUGUGUACUACCGUCAUGCAUUUAUUGCUGUUUUGUAUAUUUAGUUGGCACAUAUUCAUUAUUAUCACCCAAUACCUAAUGUAAUAGACAUUAAUACCUACUUACUAACAUGCGGAGAAAGGGUCUAUACAGUGGGGUCCAAAAGUCUGAGACCACAUUGAAAAUCAGAGGGAAAAACAGAGGGUUUUAGAAUUUUUAAAUAUUUAAAAGAAAGAAAGUAAAUGUUCAAUAACUUGAAUAUUUAAUAUUCAAUAUUCUGCACUAUUUCUAGGUCACUACUUAAAAUGUAAGCAAAUUUGUGAUAUUGACCAUAACCGCUUAACUGCUUUGUACUAAAGAUUUUCCUCAUACCUAAUCUCUUCUAUUGAAGCAGAUGUUCAGAUGACACUCUGAUGGAUUUGAUCUAAAAUGGAUCAUAAGUUUUUACAGAAACUUGUGGAGUCCAUGCCAGCUCGAGUGCGCACUGUCAUUAAAGCAAAAAGGGGACAUACCAAGUACUAAAAACUCUGAAAUCCAUGUAAAUAUUUCAAAGAUUCUACUUUUCACUCAAGUUGUUGUCAGUAAUAUAAUUUGUAAUGAAAAUUGUAUUAAAUUAGAAAAGAAUGUAAAAUACAAGCAUUUUCACUGAUGCUCUCAGACUUUUACAUAACACUAACAUAUAACAAUGUCAUUUAAAAUGUCAUCAAAAUGUAAUUAUACCAAAUACCAAAUUAUACAAUCAUUUACACUGCCCUGUUAUUAACAAAUGUUUGUAGUCCUUACAAACCGUUGUGAUGCUGUUGGUUUUUGGUGUAAAAUGCAAUAUAAUGCAACCAAUCAAUC